UCCGCUUUGAAUCGAGUAUAAAGAGCGCUCGAAACGAAGUGAACAGUCGUUUCCGUAAGUAAACACCAAAGGUAUCAUCAUGAAGAUUGCCUGCCUAGUUGCCCUCCUGAUUACUUGCGUUGUCAUGGUUACCAUGCCAGUAACUGAAGCCCAACCCGACCGUUGCCAUUGCAGUAGCGGAUCGUGUCGUUACGGAACCAGUGACUCCGGCCCGUGUCCAUACAACUCAUAUCUGAGGAAUUGCUGUAUAUAUUAUAGGGGCCAUUAAAGCACACAGACCACAUUGGCAUUCAUAUGUUUUGGUUAGGUUGAAUCAAUAAAACAGCGAAAUUGUU